ncrna:60S ribosomal RNA fragment from Oryctolagus cuniculus (PDB 3J0Q, chain 7)
GCUUGUGGCAGUCAAGCGUUCAUAGCGACAUUGCUUUUUGAUUCUUCGAU